rnacentral:rRNA from 1 species
CCUACGGUGUGCUGCAGUAGGGAAUUUUGCGCAAUGGGCGAAAGCCUGACGCAGCAACGCCGCGUGAUCGAGACGCCCUUCGGGGUGUAAAGAUCUGUCAGUGGGGACGAAACUUGACGGUACUCACAGAGGAAGCACCGGCUAACUCCGUGCCAGCAGCCGCGGUAAUCCGGGGGUGCAAGCGUUGUCCGGCAUCAUUGGGCGUAAAGAGUUCGUAGGCGGCACGUAAAGUCUGAUGUUAAAGGCAGAGGCUCAACUGCUGUACGGCAGUGGAUACUUGCGAGCUAGAGUGCGGUAGAGGUAGAGGGAAUUCAUGGUGUAGCGGUGAAAUGCUGAGAUAUCAGGAGGAACAGCGGUGGCGUAAGCGCUUUACUGGGCCGUAAUUGACGCUGAGGAACGAAAGCGAGGGUAGCAAAUGGGAUUAGAUACCCUUGUAGUC